AUCCUUCAUGUAAAUGGAAUUAUGUAGUAUUUGUCCUUCGGUGACUGGUUUAUUUCACUUAGCAUAACAUCC